CCUACGGGAGGCAGCAGUAGGGAAUAUUGCUCAAUGGGGGAAACCCUGAAGCAGCAACGCCGCGUGGAGGAUGAAGGUUUUCGGAUUGUUAACUCCUUUUGUUAGAGAAGAUAAUGACGGUAUCUAACGAAUAAGCACCGGCUAACUCUGUGCCAGCAGCCGCGGUAAUACGGAGGGUGCAAGCGUUACUCGGAAUCACUGGGCGUAAAGAGCGCGUAGGCGGGAUAGCAAGUCAGAUGUGAAAUCCUAUGGCUUAACCAUAGAACUGCAUUUGAAACUGUUAUUCUAGAGUAUGGGAGAGGUAGGUGGAAUUCUUGGUGUAGGGGUAAAAUCCGUAGAGAUCAAGAGGAAUACUCAUUGCGAAGGCGACCUGCUAGAACAUAACUGACGCUGAUGCGCGAAAGCGUGGGGAGCAAACAGGAUUAGAUACCCCUGUAGUC
rnacentral:rRNA from 1 species